UGAUGUACAUGUCAACUAUAUUACAAGGGAUUACAUUGUCCCAGGAGCAACUUGGGUGCCUUGCACAAGGGCACAAUGGGGGAAGCCGGUAAUUGAACCCACAACUUUCAGGCUACUGCAUCCUAUCCCAGCUCCUUACCCACUAGACUACCACCGCACCCUACUCCAGAGAGAUG